GGGCGUAUGACGCGGGCUGGACCUCUCGGGGUUACAGCCUUGCUGAAUUAUUCACCCUUGUCUUUUGCGUACUUCUUGUUUCCUUGGUGGGUUCGCCCACCACUAGGACAAACAUAAACCUUUUGUAAUUGCAAUCAGCGUCAGUAACAAAUUAAUAAUUACAACUUUCAACAACGGAUCUCUUGGUUCUGGCAUCGAUGAAGAACGCAGCGAAAUGCGAUAAGUAGUGUGAAUUGCAGAAUUCAGUGAAUCAUCGAAUCUUUGAACGCACAUUGCGCCCUUUGGUAUUCCAAAGGGCAUGCCUGUUCGAGCGUCAUUUGUACCCUCAAGCUUUGCUUGGUGUUGGGCGUCUUGUCUCUAGCUUUGCUGGAGACUCGCCUUAAAGUAAUUGGCAGCCGGCCUACUGGUUUCGGAGCGCAGCACAAGUCGCACUCUCUAUCAGCAAAGGUCUAGCAUCCAUUAAGCCUUUUUUUCAACUUUUGACCUCGGAUCAGGUAGGGAUACCCGCUGAACUUAAGCAUAUCAAGCCGGGGAAGG
rnacentral:misc_RNA from 1 species